UACGGAGGGUGCAAGCGUUGCUCGGAAUUAUUGGGCGUAAAGGGCAGGUAGGUGGUCUCAUUUGUCUGGGGUGAAAUCCUUGAGCUUAACUCAAGAAGUGCCCCAGAAACGGUGAGACUAGAGUGCCGGAGAGGUGAGUGGAAUUCCCGGUGUAGCGGUGAAAUGCGUAGAGAUCGGGAGGAACACCAGAGGCGAAAGCGGCUCACUGGACGGUGACUGACACUCAACUGCGAAAGCGUGGGGAGCAAACAGG
rnacentral:rRNA from 1 species